AAAAAUUUAGUUAAACCUAUAACAUUAGCUUGUCAAGCUAAAAUUAUUACAAAAAUAAUUUUUA
rnacentral:tRNA from 1 species